rnacentral:rRNA from 1 species
AGUGAGAAUGCCGGAAUGAGUAGCGAGAAUUAUGUGAGAAUCAUAAUGGCCGAAAAUCUAAGGUUUCCUGAGGAAGGUUCGUCCGCUCAGGGUAAGCCGGGGGCUAAGGCGAGGCGGAGACGCGUAGCCGAUGCACAUACGGUUGAAAUUCCGUAGCCACCGAAAGAUUUAAGUACAGGGACGCUUUAGAAGUGAUGUUGCCGGGCGAUGGUUGACCCGGUCGUAAGGGAUCGAAAAUGAGUAGAGAAGUCAUCAUGGAAAGAGACAAGAAAAGCUGUAUGGAUAUCUUAGGUGCCCGUACCGCAAACCGACACAGGUAGAUAGGAAGAAGAUUCUAAGGCCAACGGGAGAAGGGUUGUUAAGGAACUCGGCAAGUUGACCCCGUAACUUAGGGAUAAGGGGUGCUCAAGUGAUUGAGCCGCAGAGAAUAGGCCCAGGCGACUGUUUAGCAAAAACACAGGUCUCUGCUAAAUCGAAAGAUGACGUAUAGGGGCUGACACCUGCCCGGUGCCGGAAGGUUAAGAGGAGAUGUGAGAGCAUUGAAUUGAAGCCCCGGUAAACGGCGGCCGUAACUAUAACGGUCCUAAGGUAGCGAAAUUCCUUGUCAGGUAAGUUCUGACCCGCACGAAAGGUGUAACGAUCUGGGCACUGUCUCAACAACCCGCCCGGCGAAAUUGUAGUACCGGUGAAGAUGCCGGUUACCCGCGACUAGACGGAAAGACCCCAUGGAGCUUUACUGUAGCCUAAUAUUGGAUUUCGGUAUUUCACGUACAGGAUAGGUGGGAGACUGGGAAGCACAGGCGUCAGCUUGUGUGGAGUCGACCUUGGGAUACCACUCUUGGAGUGCUGGAAUUCUAACCUGCGGCUUUGAAGCAAGUCGGGGGACAUUGUUAGGUGGGCAGUUUGACUGGGGCGGUCGCCUCCUAAAGAGUAACGGAGGCGCUCAAAGGUUCGCUCUGCAUGGAUGGAAACCAUGCGUCAGAGUGUAAACGCAAAAGCGAGCCUAACUGCGAGAAUGACGGUUCGAGCAGUAACGAAAGUUGGAGUUAGUGAUCCGGCGGUAUGUGAAUGGAAAUGCCGUCGCUCAACGGAUAAAAGCUACCCUGGGGAUAACAGGCUGAUCUCCCCCAAGAGUCCACAUCGACGGGGAGGUUUGGCACCUCGAUGUCGGCUCAUCGCAUCCUGGGGCUGAAUUCGGUCCCAAGGGUUUGGCUGUUCGCCAAUUAAAGCGGUACGCGAGCUGGGUUCAGAACGUCGUGAGACAGUUCGGUCCCUAUCUGUCGUGGGCGUAGGAUAUUUGCAAGGAGCUGUCCCUAGUACGAGAGGACCGGGAUGGACGCACCUCUGGUGCACCAGUUGUCACGCCAGUGGCACAGCUGGGCAGCUAUGUGCGGAACGGAUAAACGCUGAAGGCAUCUAAGCGUGAAGCCGCCCUUAAGAUAAGAUAUCCCUUCUGUUUACAGAGUAAGACCCCUUGAAGACUACAAGGUUGAUAGGCUCAAAGUGUAAGCACGGUGACGUGUUUAGCUAGCGAGUACUAAUCGGUCGAGGGCUUAACCUU